rnacentral:rRNA from 1 species
GAACCUGAAACCGUGUACGUACAAGCAGUAGGAGCACCUUCGUGGUGUGACUGCGUACCUUUUGUAUAAUGGGUCAGCGACUUAUAUUCAGUGGCAAGGUUAACCGUAUAGGGGAGCCGUAGCGAAAGCGAGUCUUAACUGGGCGCUCAGUCUCUGGAUAUAGACCCGAAACCGGGUGAUCUAGCCAUGGGCAGGUUGAAGGUUGAGUAACAUCAACUGGAGGACCGAACCGACUAAUGUUGAAAAAUUAGCGGAUGACUUGUGGCUAGGGGUGAAAGGCCAAUCAAACUCGGAGAUAGCUGGUUCUCCCCGAAAGCUAUUUAGGUAGCGCCUCGGACGAAUACUACUGGGGGUAGAGCACUGUUAAGGCUAGGGGGUCAUCCCGACUUACCAACCCUUUGCAAACUCCGAAUACCAGUAAGUACUAUCCGGGAGACACACGGCGGGUGCUAACGUCCGUCGUGGAGAGGGAAACAACCCAGACCGCCAGCUAAGGUCCCAAAGUAUUGCUAAGUGGGAAACGAUGUGGGAAGGCUCAGACAGCUAGGAUGUUGGCUUAGAAGCAGCCAUCAUUUAAAGAAAGCGUAAUAGCUCACUAGUCGAGUCGGCCUGCGCGGAAGAUGUAACGGGGCUAAGCAAUACACCGAAGCUGCGGCAAUGUCUUUUAGA